AAAAAAAAAAAAAAGUUACAUAUACAUAUUAAAUACGUUGCAUGUGUACAACCCUAAUACGUAACUAAUGCACCAUUUUUAUUUCUAAUUCAGAUAUUAUGUAGGUCUACUAACAGCACUAGCACUUUUCCAUUGUUUAGUGUUUGUUUUCUGUCUUGUUUUUUUCAUUUUAUUUUUGAAAAAUGAUAGCACAAAGAAUCAAUGGAAAUCUUUCUACAACACAUCAAGCGAUGUCCCUUUUUACGUUUUAGUGAGUGCACUCACUGUGUUGAACGGAGUUUUUUUUGUUUUAGUUGUACAACUUCUAGGAUUGCACAUUUUUCUGAUUUUAAAAAAAAUGACCACAUAUGAGUAUAUCGUUAACAGAUCGAACUCUAAGGAUAAAGAAAAUAAAAACACAAGGACGUGUUUAGAAUGGAUAGUCAUAGAUAAAAAGUGCGUACAUUUAUUGAAUGAAAAAUAUUUGAGCAUUUUCAUAUAAAACAUAUGCAUACAUUCAUUUAAUAUUAUUCCAAAUUUUGUCUAUAUACGUAUAUACCUAUAUAUGUAUGUGUAUAUGUUUUUAUCUAUUUAGUAAUAUAACUAGUUAAUUAACUAGCUAUUUUUCAUUUUAUUUAUUUAUUUUUUAUUUUUUUUUUAUUUUUAGGCGCUUGAAAAGCAAUAAUGAUAUUGAAGUAUGAAAAUUGAAUUUUUUUUUUUUCAUUUUUUUUAGCUAUAUAUUUAGCUAUACAUUUAUAUAUAUAUAUAUAUACCCCAUUUGGGCCACUUUUUUACAAAAUACAAAUAAUAUAUACAAAAAAAUAACUCAUUGAAUUAAUUUGCUUUGUUUUACAGAAUAUAGAAAAUCCAUAACAUUGAAUUAUCAAAAACUGAAAAAAAAUAAUAAAAUGUUAUUAAAACAAAUAAAAAGGAAAAAA
rnacentral:lncRNA from 1 species